rnacentral:rRNA from 1 species
GAUGAACGCUGGCGGCGUGCCUAAUACAUGCAAGUCGAGCGAACAGACGAGGAGUUUGCUCCUCUGACGUUAGCGGCGGACGGGUGAGUAACACGUGGAUAACCUACCUAUAAGACAGGGAUAACUUCGGGAAACCGGAGCUAAUACCGGAUAAUAUAUUGAACCGCAUGGUUCAAUAGUGAAAGACGGUUUUGCUGUCACUUAUAGAUGGAUCCGCGCCGCAUUAGCUAGUUGGUAAGGUAACGGCUUACCAAGGCAACGAUGCGUAGCCGACCUGAGAGGGUGAUCGGCCACACUGGAACUGAGACACGGUCCAGACUCCUACGGGAGGCAGCAGUAGGGAAUCUUCCGCAAUGGGCGAAAGCCUGACGGAGCAACGCCGCGUGAGUGAUGAAGGUCUUCGGAUCGUAAAACUCUGUUAUUAGGGAAGAACAAAUGUGUAAGUAACUAUGCACGUCUUGACGGUACCUAAUCAGAAGGCCACGGCUAACUACGUG